rnacentral:rRNA from 1 species
CGUGUAGGCGGUUGGUUAAGUCGGAUGUGAAAGCCUGGGGCUCAGCCCCAGAAGUGCAUCCGAAACUAUCCAGCUAGAGCGCGAUAGAGGAGGGUGGAAUUCCUGGUGUAGCGGUGAAAUGCGUAGAUAUCAGGAGGAACACCGGCGGCGAAGGCGGCCCUCUGGAUCGUUGCUGACGCUGAGACGCGAAAGCGUGGGGAGCAAACAGGAUUAGAUACCCUGGUAGUCCACGCCUUAAACGAUGGGUACUAGGUGUUCGGGGUGUUGACCCCCUGAGUGCCGCAGUUAACGCAUUAAGUACCCCGCCUGGGGACUACGGCCGCAAGGUUAA